rnacentral:rRNA from 1 species
AACGAACGCUGGCGGCAGGCCUAACACAUGCAAGUCGAGCGAAGCCUUCGGGCUUAGCGGCGGACGGGUGAGUAACGCGUGGGAACGUGCCCUUUGGUACGGAACAGCCCCGGGAAACUGGGAGUAAUACCGUAUGUGCCCGAGAGGGGAAAGAUUUAUCGGCAAAGGAUCGGCCCGCGUUGGAUUAGGUAGUUGGUGGGGUAAUGGCCUACCAAGCCGACGAUCUAUAGCUGGUUUGAGAGGAUGAUCCGCCACACUGGGACUGAGACACGGCCCAGACUCCUACGGGAGGCAGCAGUGGGGAAUAUUGGACAAUGGGCGCAAGCCUGAUCCAGCCAUGCCGCGUGGGUGAUGAAGGCCCUAGGGUUGUAAAGCCCUUUCAGCGGGGAAGAUAAUGACGGUACCUGCAGAAGAAGCCCCGGCUAACUUCGUGCCAGCAGCCGCCGUAAAAC